GAAGUGUUUUCCGUGAUAGACCGCAAACAAGUCUCUUGGAACAGAGCGUCAUAGUGGUGAGAACCCAGUACACGAUGCGGAUGCCUAUUACUUUGUGAUACACUUUCGAAGAGUCGAGUUGUUUGGGAAUGCAGCUCAAAUUGGGUGGUAAAUUCCAUCUAAAGCUAAAUAUUGGCGAGAGACCGAUAGCGAACAAGUACCGUGAGGGAAAGAUGAAAAGCACUUUGGAAAGAGAGUUAACAGUACGUGAAAUUGUUGGAAGGGAAACACAUGCAGUGAUACUUGCUAUUCGGGGCAACUCGAUUGGCAGGCCCGCAUCAGUUUUUCGGGGCGGAAAAUCAUAGAGAGAAGGUAGCAGUCUCGGCUGUGUUAUAGCUCUUUAUUGGAUUCGCCCUGGGGGACUGAGGAACGCAGCGUGCUUUUUGCAUGAGCUUCGGCUUAUCCACGCUUAGGAUGCGGGUUUAUGGCUGUAUAUGAC
rnacentral:rRNA from 1 species